rnacentral:rRNA from 1 species
GACGAACGCUGGCGGCGUGCCUAAUACAUGCAAGUAGAACGCACAGUCCAUACCGUAGCUUGCUACACCAUAGACUGUGAGUUGCGAACGGGUGAGUAACGCGUCGGUAACCUGCCUGGUAGCGGGGGAUAACUAUUGGAAAUGCUAGCUAAUACCGCCUAAUAUUAAUUAUUGCAUGAUAAUUAAUUGAAAGGUGCAAUUGCACCACUACCAGAUGGACCUGCGUUGUAUUAGCUAGUAGGUGAGGUAACGGCUCACCUAGGCGACGAUACAUAGCCGACCUGAGAGGGUGAUCAGCCACACUGGGACUGAGACACGGCCCAGACGCCUACGGGAGGCAGCAGUAGGGAAUCUUCAGCAAUGGACGAAAGUCUGACCGAGCAACGCCGCGUGAGUGAAGAAGGUUGUCGGAUCGUAAAGCUCUGUUGUAAGAGAAGAACGGGUGUGAGAGUGGAAAGUUCACACUGUGACGGUAUCUUACCAGAAAGGGACGGCUAACUACGUG